GCUUACAUAAAGGGAAUUUGCAAACCUCUGCAACCUCUGGCAACACUGGACCGCUCACUCGUAAUGAGCAGGUCAGCGGUUCGAGUCCGCUCGUCGGCU
rnacentral:tRNA from 1 species